rnacentral:lncRNA from 1 species
CAUAAACCCUGUUCUUGUCCUAACCCGCCAAGGGGCCAUGGACUUGAGCGCGCUGGCGUCGAGCAGAGAAGAGCUGUGGGAGGUACGAAGCAGGAGUUCACCGGCAGGACUUCCCGUGCAUGCAACCCGGAGUCUGCGGGACCUGGAGGGAGCCGGCCAACCUGAGCAGUCGCUAAGCUUUCAGUCCUGGACUUCAGCAGAGCCCGCUGCUAGAGCCUUCGGUGAGACGCUUCGUGCCCAGCCAUGGUUCCUGCAGCAAAUCAUCUUUGCCGAUCCUGUCAGGCUCGACGACCGUCUCAAGAACCGAUGGCGCCCCCGUGCUUGACCUAAGCAGGAGCACAGCUUGUAGCUCCAGUCAGGUCUCGUUGUCUGGUCAAUAAAAUCACUCUGAUUCCUG